rnacentral:lncRNA from 1 species
UCAAUGUGUGUGUGGCCUGUUUGGCCUACGUCCGGAGACGUGUCGAUGUGUGUGUAGCCCGUUUGGCCUACAUCCUGAGACAUGUCGACGAGAUGAGAGUGACUCGUUUGGCCUACAUCCUAAGACGUGUCGAUGUGAGUGACCCGUUUGGCCUACGUCCGGAGAUGUGUCGAUGUGUUACCGGAGACGUGUCGAUGUAAGUGACCCGUUUGGCCUACGUCUGGAGACGUGUCGAUGUGUGUGGCCCGUUUGGCCUACGUCUAAAGGCGUGUCGAUGAAUGUGGCCCGUUUGGCUUAUGUCUGAUGACGUGUCGAUUGCAUUUGUAAACAUUCCAUUGGAAAGAAAAGCUUGAACUUGCAUUGAUGUAUGUGUGAUUACAUUGCAUUAUUGAACAAAAGAGAUGAGUUACAAGGGUAACAUUAAAAGUAACUUGUCUUCAAUGGAGGUGAGGAAGGCCUAGCUUCCUGUUUGGAGUCGAGCUAAUAGGCGAGCAGCUUCGUGGAUAGUACCUCCGGCGGUGAUGGGCAUUCCGUUGUCUUGGAACUUCUUUCCCUUAAAAGAUGAUGUUGGGAUCGUCUUCCAUGACUGGGUAGCAGGUGACAGCUUGGGAGACCUG